GGGGGGGUAGCUCAGCGGUUAGAGCAUCAGCGAAUUUGCAUUUGGUCUUUCCCCUAAGCGAAACAUACCUAAAAAUGCCGAUUCCUAAGGUCCUGGGUUCGAGUCCCAGUUCUCCCG